UACGGGGGGAGCAAGCGUUGUUCGGAUUUACUGGGCGUAAAGGGCGCGUAGGCGGCGCAACAAGUCACUUGUGAAAUCUCCGGGCUUAACCCGGAGCGGUCAAGUGAUACUGUCGUGCUAGAGUGCGGAAGGGGCAACUGGAAUUCUCGGUGUAGCGGUGAAAUGCGUAGAUAUCGAGAGGAACACCUGCGGCGAAGGCGGGUCUCUGGGCCGAUACUGACGCUGAGGAGCGAAAGCGUGGGGAGCGAACAGG
rnacentral:rRNA from 1 species